rnacentral:rRNA from 1 species
UACGGAGGGGGCUAGCGUUGUUCGGAAUUACUGGGCGUAAAGCGCGCGUAGGCGGCUUUGUAAGUUAGAGGUGAAAGCCCAGGGCUUAACCCUGGAAUUGCCUUUAAGACUGCAUCGCUAGAAUCGUGGAGAGGUGAGUGGAAUUCCGAGUGUAGAGGUGAAAUUCGUAGAUAUUCGGAAGAACACCAGUGGCGAAGGCGACUCACUGGACACGUAUUGACGCUGAGGUGCGAAAGCGUGGGGAGCAAACAGG